UUGCCUGAGGCUGAGCUGAUAGCAAUGACCGAGGCUAGGGUCAGAGCCUAAUUUUUCCUUUAUGGGUAACGCCCUUCUAAGGCGUAGGUCGCACGUUCGAAUCGUGCUGGGCAGGCCA
rnacentral:tRNA from 1 species